GAGUCCAGGACACUGCUACAUGCAAGUCUAACUUUGUUAAUCCUCUUUACCAGCGGCAUCGGAGGACACAUCGAAAAUGGCUCUCAUCUGAAAAUGGAUCAGGCUUUGCUCAUAUUUCAUAACCAGCUGACUGAAGAAGUGCAUGCUUCCUACACAUCAGAUUACUGCUACAAGUGUUUGUACCAACAUUUGGUCACAGUGAAACCCAACAACAAUAAUGCUUCUGCAAUAAUCAGCACCAAAUUUACUCUGACAGUACAAGUGGAAUCACAAACCAGGAAUGCAACCUUUUGCAGAUGGAGUCAAACGUAUGAGGAAGGUGGUCACUACUCUAUUUGGAUUUACACCCUAGAUGCAAAUAAUCGCAGCUGCACUCACAUUGUGGAUAGAAGACCAAAUAAUGCCUAUCUGCCUAUUUUGGUGGCAGCACUCCUGCUGGCUGUAAUCGCUCUGUUAUUCGUUGUGAUACCCUACAUCUGCAGGAGGCGUUGUACAUCAAAAUUUAUAAAGACUAUUUGCUGCCAAGGCCCACAGCAUUCAGAAGAG
ensembl:lncRNA